CCUACGGGAGGCAGCAGUAGGGAAUCUUCGGCAAUGGACGAAAAUCUGACCGAGCAACGCCGCGUGAGUGAAGAAGGUUUUCGGAUCGUAAAACUCUGUUGGUAGAGAAGAACGUUGGUGAGAGUGGAAAGCUCAUCAAGUGACGGUAACUACCCAGAAAGGGACGGCUAACUACGUGCCAGCAGCCGCGGUAAU
rnacentral:rRNA from 1 species